CAGGCCUUGACAUCCAAUGAGCUUUCCAGAGAUGGAUUGGUGCCUUCGGGAGCAUUGAGACAGGUGCUGCAUGGCUGCCGUCAGCUCGUGUCGUGAGAUGUUGGGUUAAGUCCCGUAACGAGCGCAACCCUUGUCCUUAGUUACCAGCACGUAAUGGUGGGCACUCUAAGGAGACUGCCGGUGACAAACCGGAGGAAGGUGGGGAUGACGUCAAGUCAUCAUGGCCCUUACGGCCUGGGCUACACACGUGCUACAAUGGUCGGUACAAAGGGUUGCCAAGCCGCGAGGUGGAGCUAAUCCCAUAAAACCGAUCGUAGUCCGGAUCGCAGUCUGCAACUCGACUGCGUGAAGUCGGAAUCGCUAGUAAUCGUGAAUCAGAAUGUCACGGUGAAUACGUUCCC
rnacentral:rRNA from 1 species